rnacentral:lncRNA from 1 species
GCUUCCAGGGAGGUGGAGAGAGUCACAAAUAACAUGUCUGGAGAGCUGGGUCUGGUCCUGAGUCUAUCUGUGAACACACCUGGGGCAAAGCUAUAUUUCUGGACUGUAACAUUCUCUUGGCAGGUCCUGGACCACCUUCCAGAUGACUGAGGCCCUGGUGGGCCAUGAGCUUCCCUCAAACCUGCACAUUUGAGAACAAGAUGUAGAACUCUCAGCUCCUCCAGCCCCACAUCUGCCUGGAUGCUGCCCUGCUCCCACCUUGAUGAUAAUGGACUGAACUUCUAAACCUGUAAGCCAGAUCCAAUUAAAUGUUGUCCUUUAUAAGA